CCUAAAAAUGAACCUCCAAAACAAAAUUACAAAUCUUUCUCCGUCCAACAAUAAUGUCACCUUUAUUUUCUACAAAAUUUGUUCUAAUAGUACUCCUUUUGCUAUUAAUUAAGUGUUCAAUUUUAAAAUUUUACCCUUUUAUAAAUAAUUUUAUAUUAAAAAAUUCAGGUUACUAGCAUUGAUUAUUUCUUUACUGGUUUUACACUUUAACUCAUUUUCUCAAUCUUUUAAGCGUUCUUCUAAUCCUAUAGCCACUAAUGUAAUGUAUUAAUGUGCACUUAUAAUUUCAAUACUUUACCAUCAUUUUCUUAAUCUAUGUGUCCAUUUAAUUAAAUUGGACACUAAAUAAAUAUCCUUGAUAGAAUUAGUGAGGUUUAAAAGAUUUUUAUAUAGUUUUACCAAAUUUUUAAUUAGGUUCUUAUACGUUUUUUUAAUUAGGUCUCUAUAUCAUAAUUUUUUUUUUCAAUUUAAUGUCUAUCGUGACAAAAACGUUUGAAAUAACAGAAUAUUCUAUUAAAAAACAAAUAUUCUCACUAUUAGAGUUAAAAAUCUAAUUAAAGACACCUCAAUUUUUCUAAAAUUCUAAAAUAACUCUAGACAUAGUACCACGCUCACACCUUGCCCUAAGUUCUUUGUUGACCUCCUCUGUUGCUGCGUCUCCUCUGCUCGACACCCGUCGCGUUCUCGGCAUCCGUCGCAUGGUCGUCCGCCGUCACUUCUCGUAACCCUGGUGUGCUCCACUACUCACAUCUCGCCACGCCGCUCCUCCGUCCCUCCCUUUUCGCUCGCGUUUGUAGUCGCCAUUCCCUUCACUCAUGUCCUAUCUCUACUGCGUUGCUCACGUUCCGUCAUUGCACCAUCCCAUUCACUGCUGUUUUGCCGUCAUCAUCCCUUUUGUUGGUAUCCCAUCGCUGCGCCCUCCCCUUUGUUUGCGUUUGUCGUUGUCAACGAUUGUCCCUUCUCCUUUAUUGAAUUUGAUUUUGGAGAUAUAACUACUCUAAUGGAUGGUGAAGGCAGCAAGAAUGUUGGACAGUUCAUACAAUUAUUUUGAGAUCAAGCAUGACUUCUAGGAUAUGCUGCUGUUGUGAUUGUUGAAAUUGCUAUGCUUUUUACAUUUAUUUUUGUCCAACUCCAUUGAUCAUGUAUUCUACAAUGCAUCUGUCAUAUAGAGUUUGUCUUUUAGUUUCAUGUUCAACUGCUCAAGAUGUCACUACUCUUCUACUCACUACUCUUCAUAGGUUCAUAUGAAGUUUGUCCUUUAACUCCUCCUA